CAAUGUAGCCAUACCACCUGCAGUUAGGAUUAGGUACUCAAUCUAAAACUAAGCAGGUUUGGGCCUGGCUAGUAUUUGGAUGGGAGGCUAAUGAAGAAAGCUGGGUUGCUGCUGA
rnacentral:rRNA from 1 species